GUAAGCAGUGUGGGUCCCUGCCUGAGCCAGCUUUGCGAGGAAGGCCCUGCCUCCUGGUAGAGCUGCAGCUUAGCCUGGCCACCUGAGGGGCGGCCCAUGAGCCACAGAGAUCUGGAGUGUUCUCA